rnacentral:rRNA from 1 species
UAACUCCGGGAAACCGGGGCUAAUACCGGAUAAUAUUUUGAACUGCAUGGUUCGAAAUUGAAAGGCGGCUUCGGCUGUCACUUAUGGAUGGACCCGCGUCUCAUUAGCUAGUUGGUGAGGUAACGGCUCACCAAGGCAACGAUGCGUAACCGACCUGAGAGGGUGAUCGGCCACACUGGGACUGACACACGGCCCACACUCCUACGGGAGGCAGCAGUAGGGAAUCUUCCGCAAUGGACGAAAGUCUGACGGACCACCGCCGCGUGAGUGAUGAAUGCUUUCGGGUCGUAAAACUCUGUUGUUAGGAAAGAACAAGUGCUAAUUGAAUAAGCUGGCACCUUGACGGUACCUAACCAGAAAGCCACGGCUAACUACGUGCCACCAGCCGCGGUAAUACGUAGGUGGCAAGCGUUAUCCGGAAUUAUUGGGCGUAAAGCGCGCGCAGGUGGUUUCUUAAGUCUGAUGUGAAAGCCCACGGCUCAACCGUGGAGGGUCAUUGGAAACUGGCAUACUUGAGUGCAAAAAAGGAGAGUGUAAUUCCAUGUGUAGCGGUGAAAUGCAUAUAGAUAUGGAGGAACACCAGUGGCGAAAGCUACUUUCUGGUCUGUAACUGACACUGACGC